rnacentral:misc_RNA from 1 species
GUGAAUCAUCAAAUUUUUGAACGCAAAUUGCACUCUCUUCCGAGAGGAUGCCUGUUUGAGGGUCAGCCUAAGAAAAAUCAACAUCGUUGCUGUUUCGCGGCGGCGUUCGUCGGGAAUUGGGUUAUCUUAGAUCUUUGGAUUAGGCGACGUAACAUAAACUUUACAAUUCCAUGAUCGUUUCCAU